GGGGGUGGCUCGGUGGUGGAGCGCAUGCUUAGCACGCACGAGGUCCUGGGUCCGAUCCCCAGCACCUCCA
rnacentral:tRNA from 1 species